UUGGUACUCCCUCCGUUCGGAAUUACUUGUCUUGGAUAUGGAUGUAUCUAGAACUAAAAUACAUCUAGAUACAUCCAUUUCUGCGACAAGUAAUUCCGAACGGAGGGAGUACCAU
rnacentral:pre_miRNA from 1 species